GACGAACGCUGGCGGCGUGCUUAACACAUGCAAGUCGAACGGCAAGGCCCUGCUUUUGUGGGGUGCUCGAGUGGCGAACGGGUGAGUAACACGUGAGUAACCUGCCCUUGACUUUGGGAUAACUUCAGGAAACUGGGGCUAAUACCGGAUAGGAGCUCCUGCUGCAUGGUGGGGGUUGGAAAGUUUCGGCGGUUGGGGAUGGACUCGCGGCUUAUCAGCUUGUUGGUGGGGUAGUGGCAUACCAAGGCUUUGACGGGUAGCCGGCCUGAGAGGGUGACCGGCCACAUUGGGACUGAGAUACGGCGCAGACGCCUACGGGAGGCAGCAGGGGGGAAUAUUGCACAAUGGGCGGAAGCCUGAUGCAGCAACGCCGCGUGCGGGAUGACGGCCUUCGGGUUAUAAACCGCUUUCGCCUGUGACGAAGCGUGAGUGACGGUAAUGGGUAAAGAAGCACCGGCUAACUACGUG
rnacentral:rRNA from 1 species